rnacentral:rRNA from 1 species
UACGGAGGGGGCUAGCGUUGUUCGGAAUUACUGGGCGUAAAGGGCUCGUAGGCGGCCAACUAAGUCAGACGUGAAAUCCCCAGGCUCAACCUGGGAACUGCGUCUGAUACUGGAUGGCUUGAAUCCGGGAGAGGGAUGCAGAAUUCCAGGUGUAGCGGUGAAAUGCGUAGAUAUCUGGAGGAACACCGGUGGCGAAGGCGGCAUCCUGGACCAACACUGACGCUGAGGAGCGAAAGCCAGGGGAGCAAACGGG